UACGGAGGGUGCAAGCGUUAUCCGGAUUCACUGGGUUUAAAGGGUGCGUAGGCGGGCAGGUAAGUCCGUGGUGAAAUCUCUGAGCUUAACUCAGAAACUGCCAUGGAUACUAUUUGUCUUGAAUAUUGUGGAGGUCAGCGGAAUAUGUCAUGUAGCGGUGAAAUGCUUAGAUAUGACAUAGAACACCAAUUGCGAAGGCAGCUGGCUACACAGUUAUUGACGCUGAGGCACGAAAGCGUGGGGAUCAAACAGG
rnacentral:rRNA from 1 species